rnacentral:rRNA from 1 species
UACAGAGGUCUCAAGCGUUGUUCGGAUUCAUUGGGCGUAAAGGGCGCGUAGGCUGCGGGGCAAGUCGGGUGUGAAAUCUCGGAGCUUAACUCCGAAACUGCAUUCGAUACUGCCGUGCUUGAGGACUGGAGAGGAGACUGGAAUUUACGGUGUAGCGGUGAAAUGCGUAGAUAUCGUAAGGAAGACCAGUGGCGAAGGCAGGUCUCUGGACAGUUCCUGACGCUGAGGCACGAAGGUCAGGGGAGCAAACGGG